UACGGAGGAGGCAAGCGUUAUCCGGAAUUAUUUGGCGUAAAGCGUCCGCAGGUGGCACUUCAAGUCUGUCGUCAAAGACUGGGGCUUAACCCUGGAAAGGCGGUGGAAACUGAAGCGCUAGAGUGCGGUAGGGGUAGAGGGAAUUCCCGGUGUAGCGGUGAAAUGCGUAGAGAUCGGGAAGAACAUCGGUGGCGAAAGCGCUCUACUGGACCGCAACUGACACUCAGGGACGAAAGCUAGGGGAGCGAAUGGG
rnacentral:rRNA from 1 species